UACGUAGGGGUCGAGCGUUGUCCGGAAUCAUUGGGCGUAAAGCGCGCGUAGGUGGCCCGGUAAGUCCGCUCUGAAAGUCACAGGCUCAACCUGUGAAAGCGGGUGGAUACUGCCGGGCUAGAGUCCGGAAGAGGCGAGUGGAAUUCCUGGUGUAGCGGUGGAAUGCGCAGAUAUCAGGAGGAACACCGGUGGCGAAGGCGGGUCUCUGGGCCGAUACUGACGCUGAGGAGCGAAAGCGUGGGGAGCGAACAGG
rnacentral:rRNA from 1 species